rnacentral:lncRNA from 1 species
AAUAGAAACUAUUCCUUUUUCAAACAAAUUGAUGUGACCACAUGUCCAUUAUGAAUUCCGUGUGCAUGGAAUGGGUUAACAUGUCAUAAAAUGUGUCUAUAUUUUUGUAUGGUCGAUUGAAGCUUGUGUAAUAUGAUUUUUAAAAUAAAUAUGAGUUCAUAACUACAUAAAAGUCAUGGCCCGUACAAGUGUUUCCUACCAAAAAACACAAUUAUCGUCCUCGAGGUCAAAGUUCAAGGUCACAUAAAGGUCAAAAAUUUAAGAAGGCACAUCACCUCAUGAUGAUACAUCCACAUGCCAGAGAUGUAAGGCCUAGGUCAAAAGGCAAAGACGUUAUGGCCUACAUGAUUGUUUUUCACGAAAAAAAACAACAUAAAGUUGACCUUGAGGUCACAUUUGAAGGUCACAAAAAGGUCAGUAUGAUGCAAGACACUUAACCCCGUGAUGAUACAUCC